AGAAGCGGUUCAGGCCAGAGAGAAGAACGGCCCAGGGCGGGGGUCGUAGAAACAGUGGAUGUCCUGGAAAUCUUCAAAUAGGAAAAGCUACUCAGCUUCUCUUUUAGAUAACCAGUACUGCUAGUUUCCAAGUAAGAUCGACCAAACCUUCAUGUAGUUGUGACAUGGUUUUCGGAUUCGCUUUGUUCCCAAUGCUUCGAGGAUCCACUCUUUGGGCAAGCGACCCAGUCAGGAGAGAACCACUGCAGAGGCUGCCCAGCAUUCCUCCAGGAAAGAGCAUCAGGAGGGAACUCUUCCCUCAGGCAGCGGGAGGGCCCUGCUCACCAGUAAGAAGGGGUGGACUCUGAAGGUGCUUUCAGACUGACUCCUUCGAAUUAGCAGUGGUGUCAGCCAGGAGAAAGAGGGGGAGAGGGCCAGGGUCUUAGCUAGGGAGCCCUGCUCUACACAGUGUCCUCUUUAUCACAGUUUUGGGCAUCGAUGACAUCAUCGAUGAGUUAUUACAAUGAGCUAUUGGUCCUUCCUAUUGGU